rnacentral:rRNA from 1 species
AGUCAUAUGCUUGUCUCAAAGAUUAAGCCAUGCAUGUCUAAGUAUAAGCAAUUAUACGGCGAAACUGCGAAUGGCUCAUUAUAUAAGUUAUCGUUUAUUUGAUAGCACCUUUUUACUCGGAUAACUGUGGUAAUUCUAGAGCUAAUACGUGCUGAAAAUCCCGACUUCGGAAGGGCUGUAUUUAUUAGAUUCAAAACCAAUGCCCUUCGGGGCUUCAUGGUGAUUCAUAAUAACUGCUCGAAUCGCAUGGCCUUGCGCCGGCGAUGGUUCAUUCAAAUUUCUUCCCUAUCAACUUUCGAUGCGAGGGUCUUGUCCUCGCAUGGUUACAACGGGUAACGGAGGGUUAGGGCUCGACCCCGGAGAAGGAGCCUGAGAAACGGCUACUACAUCCAAGGAAGGCAGCAGGCGCGCAAAUUACCCAAUCCCGACACGGGGAGGUAGUGACAAUAAAUACUGAUACAGGGCUCUUUUGGGUCUUGUAAUCGGAAUGAGUACUAUUUAAAUCCCAUAACGAGGAACAAUUGGAGGGCAAGUCUGGUGCCAGCAGCCGCGGUAAUUCCAGCUCCAAUAGCGUAUAUUAAAGUUGUUGUGGUUAAAAAGCUCGUAGUUGAACCUUGGGCCUGGCCUGUCAGUCCCCCUCACCGGGUGCACUGAUCUGGCCGGGUCUUUCCCUCCGCGGAACCCCAUGGCCUUCACUGGUCGUGGCGGGGAAACGGGACUUUUACUUUGAAAAAAUUAGAGUGCUCCAGGCAGGCCUAUGCUCGAAUACAUUAGCAUGGAAUAAUAAAAUAGGACGCGUGGUUCUAUUUUGUUGGUUUCUAGGACCGCCGUAAUGAUUAAUAGGGACAGUCGGGGGCAUCAGUAUUCAAUUGUCAGAGGUGAAAUUCUUGGAUCUAUUGAAGACUAACUACUGCGAAAGCAUUUGCCAAGGAUGUUUUCAUUGAUAAGGAACGAAAGUUAGGGGAUCGAAGACGAUCAGAUACCGUCGUAGUCUUAACUAUAAACUAUGCCGACUAGGGAUCGGACGAUGUUGUUUUUUGACUCGUUCGGCACCUUUCGAGAAAUCAAAGUGCUUGGGCUCCAGGGGGAGUAUGGUCGCAAGGCUGAAACUUAAAGGAAUUGACGUCGUUGGUCGCAACAAACAGGAUCUGCUCCAGCCGCCCGAAAGGGUCAGUGGUUUGCCGUCGAUAAUGGCUAGUCGUCCACUGCGGACGGCAACACCCUCAAAUUGCGGGGAACUCCUAAAGCCUGUAGCUACCGCGGCCCACCGAAAGGUAAGGGUGCAGCACCAGGGUAAUAACCUCGGGAAUGGUAAAAACGCUAAGGAUGCUACAAUGGACAAUCCGCAGCCAAGCCCCUAAGCGCCGUCUGCGCGUACGGGGAAGGUCCAGAGACUUGACGGGGGUGGGUAGGCCCUACGGGGCCCGCCUAAGAUAAAGUCCAUCCCUUCGCGAAAGCGUUGCGGGCUCGAAAUGGGAACCUGCGGCUUAAUUUGACUCAACACGGGGAAACUCACCAGGUCCAGACACAGUGAGGAUUGACAGAUUGAUAGCUCUUUCUUGAUUCUGUGGGUGGUGGUGCAUGGCCGUUCUUAGUUGGUGGAGUGAUUUGUCUGCUUAAUUGCGAUAACGAACGAGACCUUAACCUGCUAAAUAGCCCAAUCUGCUCCGGCAGUUUGCUGGCUUCUUAGAGGGACUAUCGGCUCAAGCCGAUGGAAGUUUGAGGCAAUAACAGGUCUGUGAUGCCCUUAGAUGUCCUGGGCCGCACGCGCGUUACACUGACAAAGCCAGCGAGUAUUUCCUUGGCCGGAAGGUCCGGGUAAUCUUGUUAAACUUUGUCGUGCUGGGGAUAGAGCAUUGCAAUUAUUGCUCUUCAACGAGGAAUCCCUAGUAAGCGCAAGUCAUCAGCUUGCGUUGAUUACGUCCCUGCCCUUUGUACACACCGCCCGUCGCUACUACCGAUUGAACGGCUCAGUGAGGUUUUCGGACUGGCCCAGGGAGGCGGGCAACUGCCACCCCGGGCCGGAAAGUUGCCCAAACUCGGUCGUUUAGAGGAAGUAAAAGUCGUAACAAG